GUUGAACCGACGACAGGGUCGUGGGCGGCCGAGGCUCAUCGAUGCAAGCGGGGAGUGAAGGCUGGAUCGUGUGGUCCGAGCCAACAUAUAAAGUACACAAAGCAUGUACUUGAGUAAAAGUAAAGAUACAGUAGAUCUCACCAAGCGACGAUGACUGACUUUAGCUUGAAUGACGCUCUGGGUGAACCACGCCAUGACCGGACGUCUCCCCUAUGGAUGAGCUCCUCUCUGCUUGAGCUACCAUCAAUGGAUGACUCUCCUUACCGGCAUGACGUCACUCCAGGUCUUGUCAGUUCUCCCAACCCUGAAGGUUGAGGUGACAUCGCCUAACCCCCGUCUCUUCUUUCUGAGUUUCUGAGUGAGGGAAAUUCUCCGGGAGCACAACUGCCUAAAUCUGGCUUCGCCUCCACAGCAACAGAGGCAAAGGAUCAUGGGUAAUGCUGACAGAAAAGCCAAAAGGUAAUCUUUUUUCCCCAUUUUUAAUCAGAAUAAGGCAGAAGAUAUACUGCAAGGGUUGGGGUUAUACUGUGUCUCUAAUUAAAUCUGUCUCCAUAAUUACCUGGAGAAUAUGUUUGCUGUAUUUUGAAUGGAAGGAACGACUGAUGAUGGUUUAUAAAUAUAUAGCAGAAUAUAGCAGUAAAAACAAGAAUUAAUUAUCCUGCUUAAAUGUUGAGUAAUGGUGAUUGAAGAGAAAAAAAAAAAAAAAAACAAUAACAAACGCGAAAAAAAAUACAGUCUCUGGUGUCCAGUGGCAGAAAGAAAACUUUGGCAGAGGCACCGAAAGAACUUCGUAUUUAAAUACAGUACAUAGAGUCGUCCUCUGUGACACAAAAAAAAGAGGGAAAUGCAUGUCUACGAACAC